UACGAACCUUGCUAACGUUAUUCGGAAUUACUGGGCUUAAAGGGUGCGUAGGCGGUGCGGAAAGUUGGGUGUGAAAUCCCUCGGCUCAACCGAGGAAUUGCGCCCAAAACUGCCGCACUAGAGGAAGACAGAGGUACGCGGAACUUAGGGUGGAGCGGUGAAAUGCGUUGAUAUCCUAAGGAACACCGGUGGCGAAAGCGGCGUACUGGGUCUUAUCUGACGCUGAGGCUCGAAAGCUAGGGGAGCGAACGGG
rnacentral:rRNA from 1 species